GCGGACGUAGUGCAUGGUGCACCACUGCAUUUAGUAGGGAGUAUACAGAGAUAAACUUGAAGCUGUUGAAGGGGUUCGACUCCCCUCGUCCGCA